UGUUACUUGUUCAUGAUAGAUGGAUUAAUCGCACACCAAGCAGUGGUCAGAUGCGGUAGUGUAGAUUUGUAAUGGUCAGAUGCGAUACUGCAGAUCAAGUAGUUGUCAGAUGCAAUAGUGCAGAACUGUAAUGGUCAAAUGCGAAAGUAAAGAUCAAAUUGUGUUCAAGUUUGGCUUGCAAAGGUUUUGUGAGUUGUUGAUGGAAGACGGGGUGUUGAAGCUUAUUUAAUUAGGAAACUGUUCGGAAUCUAAGAAAUAGGUUCGGCUUGUGUGGCGCAUACACUUUGAUCAGCAGUAUCAGUAUGUCUCUCGGUAGAGAGUUAGAAGCCUAGGUUGCAGCCAGGAGAAACAGUGAAGUAAGUUCAACCAGGUGGAGUUUAAAGCUCGGUUGAAGCCAGAAGUGAUAGUAAAGCAAUAUCAACCAGAUUCUCGAAGUGUUGCAUUUAUGCAAGUCAAGUGUCUCGUAUGUUGAGGUUAAGGGAUAUUGGAAAAUUGGUUCUUUUGCAGUUUGAGUAGUAUGAGUUUAAGGGAGGAUGUUGGAGUUUUAACUAAACUCAAACUACAAAGUCUGACAAGGUCUUAGGACCUGGACGUUGGGUUAAUAGUAUGUAAGUAAUGUGCGCAUAAAAUUGAUGUUUACUGCGUUGUUCGUGACUAAGUCACAGGUUAGUGGUGUUAGUUGGGUAUGUUAGUCCCAGUCUUUAGGAGAGUUUAAUGUCGUUGUAACGUGCGCUGUAGUGCCUAUUCUUUAGGAUAUCAGUUGAGUCUGCAAAACACCUAUAUAAAGGCAAUUCUUGUAAUCAGUAAAGUUGUAGGAUGAAUACAAUGUAGAUAUUCAAAGAUAUUUAUUGUUUGAUACUCUCGGCUCUCUCUCUCUAUGCCAAAUCCUACAAGUAGAAGCAAUGACAAUGGGUGUCAGACAACUAACUUCUAUUGAAGGUAAUUUUCUUGCUGCCUCCUAUUUCUCAUACACUUCGUACAUAUUGUACUUAGUCACGAAGCUUGGUUAUACCGCCUAAAUUCUAUGUCGCAUGUUUGGCUACAUUAGUAAAUGAUUACUAUGAAGAAUAACUCCGAUAGUGCUGAGACUGGAUCUUUAUUGCAUUUGUUGAAAAACUAAAUUAUUACUCAUGGCUUGAGUUAAACACUGGGUGUAACGGCGGUGACCUAGUGGGCCAAAAUACUGAUUUUUGUCUUUAUAUAAAUUUUCAUUGGUUCUUCUAAAAGUGUCUCUAAGGUAGGUGUAAAAAAAACACCCCUCAUCGCCCCAUCGGAACUGAAGUAACCCUUCGUAGCA